rnacentral:rRNA from 1 species
AGUGAACGCUGGCGGUAGGCCUAACACAUGCAAGUCGAACGGCAGCACAGUAAGAGCUUGCUCUUACGGGUGGCGAGUGGCGGACGGGUGAGGAAUACAUCGGAAUCUACUUUUUCGUGGGGGGUAACGUAGGGAAACUUAAGCUAAUACCGCAUACGACCUACGGGUGAAAGCAGGGGAACUUCGGACCUUGCGCGGUUGAAUGAGCCGAUGUCGGAUUAGCUAGUUGGCGGGGUAAAGGCCCACCAAGGCGACGAUCCGUAGCUGGUCUGAGAGGAUGAUCAGCCACACUGGAACUGAGACACGGUCCAGACUCCUACGGGAGGCAGCAGUGGGGAAUAUUGGACAAUGGGCGCAAGCCUGAUCCAGCCAUACCGCGUGGGUGAAGAAGGCCUUCGGGUUGUAAAGCCCUUUUGUUGGGAAAGAAAAGCAGCAGGUUAAUACCCCGCUGUUCUGACGGUACCCAAAGAAUAAGCACCGGCUAACUUCGUG